rnacentral:lncRNA from 1 species
GGACCCAAGAAAAAUUAUAAGUUAAUUCUGCCAGAUAAACACUUGCAGAGCCCCAUCACACACACACACACACACACACACACACACAAUGUAAGGAACCCUGAAGCUUGUUAUUCUUGGAAUUAUUGUCAAAUUUUGAUCGCUAUCCAAAUGAAGAAUGAAGACUAUCUGUCCACUAAUACUAAAAAGGAACACUAUUCACUAUCACAUGAAUGUCAUAGUUGCUGGGCAACAAGAAAUCUUUCAGUGUCUGGGAAGGCCUCAUGUCCACAUUGCACCCAAAUGCUCACCAAUCUCUUAAUGAAACAAUUUCCUCUUUUAAAAAUUUUGGUUUUAUCUCUUCCACUUUAUAUUUCCAGAUUACAUAGAUAAAAAAUUUUAACAAUCAUUUUUUAACAUUCUGAGUUCCAAUUUUUUCCCUUCAUUCCACCCCACCCACACUUGAGAAGACAAGCACUUUAAUUUUGUUGAUACAUAUGAGGUCAUGCAAACAUCAUUUCCAUAUUGGUCAUGUUGCAAAAGAAAACACAAGCAUAAUAAAAAUGUUUUUUUAAAGAAUACACUGAUUUGCAUUCUGAGUUCAUCAGUUCUUUCUCUGGGAGUAGAUAGCAUUUUUUUUUAUCUUGGGUCCUUUGGAACUGGUUCAAUGUCCUUUUCUUUUUUAAAUUUUUUAUUGUCAUUCAAAGUACACUUCCAUAUUGGUCACUGUUGUAAGAGCACACUCAUACAGAACCAAAACCCCAAAAUAAAACUGUAAAUACACUGAUGUGAAAUUUGACUCCAACAGUUCUUUCUCUGGAAGUGGAUGGCAGUCCCUAUUAAUGCCUUUCAGAAUUGUCCAAGAUCAUCGCAUUGCUGCAGUGACAGUGAAUCAUGAACAUUUUCAGGGCUUACCAAGCUGUCAAGGCCCUGAGUCCAAAGCCAGACUGUCUUCUGAGAAUCACUCUAACCUGAAAAGAUGGGCAAGACUUUUAAUGGGAAUGAGAGAUGAUAGACAUCUUCCAUACUCCACUGAAGGAGAGAGAGAAGAAAAUCCCUCAGCUUGUUGGGUAUUCCGUCUUUACAGAAUUUAUGAGAUGACAUCAACAAGUAUCAGCCAUGAUGGACAGAACUCUCACAACAAAGAAAGCACUAUCAUGUUAAAGGUGUAAUAAAUGCAAAGGAACCAGAAGUCAGAAGUUGUCAUUAAUGCCUAGCAUGAUGCUAGAGGUAAAUAUAUGUGUAUGUACAUACAUGUGUAUAUGUAUAUGUAACAUACACAGUUAUUAUAUUAUUUUAUACUUUUUAUAUUAACGUGGAAUAAAAGCAUACCAUAUAGAAAAAAAAAAUUAAUG